GACGAACGCUGGCGGCGUGCCUAAUACAUGCAAGUCGAACGAACCGCGACUAAGUGCUUGCACUAAGUCAAGGUGAGUGGCGAACGGGUGAGUAACACGUGGGUAACCUACCUCAUAGUGGGGGAUAGCAGUCGGAAACGACUGCUAAUACCGCAUAGGACAUAGGAUCACAUGAUCCAGUGAGGAAAGGUGGCGCAAGCUAUCGCUAAGAGAUGGACCCGCGGUGCAUUAGCUAGUUGGUAGGGUAAAGGCCUACCAAGGCGAUGAUGCAUAGCCGACCUGAGAGGGUGAUCGGCCACAUUGGGACUGAGACACGGCCCAAACUCCUACGGGAGGCAGCAGUAGGGAAUCUUCCGCAAUGGACGCAAGUCUGACGGAGCAACGCCGCGUGAGUGAAGAAGGUCUUCGGAUCGUAAAGCUCUGUUGUUAGAGAAGAACAGCGCAUAGAGUAACUGCUAUGCGUGUGACGGUAUCUAACCAGAAAGCCACGGCUAACUACGCG
rnacentral:rRNA from 1 species